ACAUGUAUAAAAGGUGUGCUGCGUGAUUUAUAGCUCGGCAACAAUGGAGGACAGCAGGAAUCAUAAAUUGGAGUUGGGUAGUGUUAUAUUGUGUGGAUGUAGCAUCC